GAAGUCGGAAUUGCUAGUAAUGGCAGGUCAGCAUACUGCCGUGAAUACGUUCCCGGGCCUUGUACACACCGCCCGUCACACCAUGAGAGUUGGGGAUACCCGAAGCCUGUGAGCCAACUUUUUAAGAGGCAGCAGUCGAAGGUAGAAUCAAUGAUUGGGGUGAAGUCGUAACAAGGUAGC
rnacentral:rRNA from 1 species